rnacentral:tRNA from 1 species
GGGGUGGUAGCUCAAUGGUAGAGCACUAGCCUGUGGCGCUGGGGAUUGCGGUUCAACUCCGCACCACCUGA